GGAGUCUGGCCCGUAUUCCAGUGCCAGUGUGGCGGAUCAUCCUCUCAGACCCGCUAACCAUCGUCGCCUAGGUAGGCCAUUACCCCACCUACUAGCUAAUGGUACGCAGACCCCUCUUCAUACAGUAGCUUGAAUCAGAGGCCACCUUUCCUCGCCUCACCUAUUGAAAUGCGAGUAUAUCCGGUAUU
rnacentral:rRNA from 1 species